UACAUGUGGGGCAAGCGUUGUCCGGAAUUACUGGGCGUAAAGGGCGCGUAGGCGGCCUUCUAAGUCAGACGUGAAAUCCCCAGGCUUAACUUGGGAACUGCGUCUGAUACUGGGAGGCUUGAGUGCGGGAGAGGGAUGUGGAAUUCCAGGUGUAGCGGUGAAAUGCGUAGAUAUCUGGAGGAACACCGGUGGCGAAGGCGGCAUCCUGGACCGACACUGACGCUGAGGCGCGAAAGCCAGGGGAGCAAACGGG
rnacentral:rRNA from 1 species